CACGCACGCGCAGUGUUCAAACUAACGGAAGGACCAGACCGGCGGCUGAGGGGCCUGGAUGGCAGCGGGGAGUGGGGUUCCUGCUCAGAUGCAGGGACAGGCAGACAGCCAGGCAGGCAGAUGGCAGGCUGUUUGGGGCUGACUGCUGAGUGGCCAGGUGGAGCGCAGACCUCAGCCCUGUAACAAACUGCCUGCCAACUCUUGUGGACCAUGCUGGAACAGACCAUAGUGGUGUGAAGUGAGGACAUCGGGGCCUCUGCUGUAGCACUCCUUCUCCCCGUGGCUGACAUGUUAGCAUCACCUUGGAGUCUUGUGCCUGGAGCAACACAAGUGUGAAGAGCAGCAGGGAAGCCAUCCACCGAGUCAUAAGGAAAUCCAGGAAGCUCUUUGCGGAGGUCCCCAUGGGCUCCAGCCAACAGCUGUAGGAGUGAGCCCUUUUGGAAGCGGAUCAUCCACCUUCUUCCCCACCUUCAGAUGACUGCAGUCCUGGCCAGUGUCUUGACAGCGUCCUCAUGAGAAGCCCUGAGCCAGGACCAGCCAGCUAAGCCACCGCUGAACUCCUGACACAGCAAUUGUGAGACUCCUGAAGAACUGGGACUCUACCUAUGCCUGCCCCCUGCUGGCCAGACAGGGCUGUGCAAGGAGCCUCCUCCAGGAUAUGCCAGAAGGCUCUAGGAGCAAGGCACUCUGGACUUGAGUUCCAGGUCCUUCCUCAGGUUGGAAUGAUCCCAUCGAUGGAUGCGAACUGCCUGAGGCUGUUGCAAGGAAUCCCAGGCCCCAGGCUGCUGCUGGGCUGUGGCUGUCAAUCCACCACUUGCCUGGAUUCUCCCUGCCCAGAAGUUCUGGAGUGCAGCAUGUCCUUUGUUCUUCUCUGCAGCUGGGUACCUAAACCACGGUGCAGGGCCCAAGCACUUGGACCAUCCUCCACUGCCUUCCCAGGCCACUGCAGAGAGCUGGACUGGAAGAAGACCAACCAGGACAGAACCGGCACCCCAACUGGGACUCGAACCUGGAGUGCUGGCACUGCAGGUAGAGGAUUAGCCUAGUGAGCCGUGGCGCCGACCCAAUGUUGUUGUGGUAUUAAAGGUGAUAAUUUCCAACUUAUUUAUUUGUAAGAAUUUUGAUGCAUGAAACUAAAUUGAAUGUCAUGAAUGAUAGAAUUUUGAAUUUUGGCCUCCCCGAUCUACACUGAUGUUGAAAAUUACAAAUAUUUUAUGAAAACAUGACAGAGUUCACUAGGGGACUGUGGGGCCUGAAGUCAUCUGGAAGUGUCUUCCUGCAUCUGCCACCAGGCUCAGCACCCUCCCGUGUCGUGUCUGCAUAGCUAGAGUCCAGUAUUUCUGAAGCUGCACUGAAGUUGAGCCUGACUUGGGUGAGAAGGAGGAGUGUGCAGGAUGGUGUUGGGAAUGAGGACCAUGUCCUGUUUCCUUGUUUACGCCGUCUUUCCCUAUUGGGCCAGAAGGGGCCAGGUUCUCUUUACAUCCACUUCCUGAGUGGCCAGGGCUUCUAUAUCAGAUCCUCCUUUGCAGCUCAGGCUCAUUGUAAGCAAGGAGAUGGUGCUUGUGUGUGUUGUAUGAGGAGACAUUGUCCCAUCAGGAGAGACAGACUAGGAAGCA